UACAGAGGUGGCAAGCGUUGUUCGGAAUUACUGGGCGUAAAGGGCGCGUAGGCGGCCUUCUAAGUCAGACGUGAAAUCCCCCGGCUUAACCUGGGAACUGCGUCUGAUACUGGAGGGCUUGAGUAUGGGAGAGGGAUGUAGAAUUCCAGGUGUAGCGGUGAAAUGCGUAGAUAUCGUCAGGAAUGCCGGUGGUGAAGACGGGUGACUGGGCUGGUU
rnacentral:rRNA from 1 species